rnacentral:rRNA from 1 species
UACGUAGGGUGCGAGCGUUAAUCGGAAUUACUGGGCGUAAAGCGUGCGCAGGCGGUUUUGUAAGCCAGAUGUGAAAUCCCCGGGCUCAACCCGGGAAUGGCAUUUGGGACUGCAAGGCUUGAGUGCGGCAGAGGAGACUGGAAUUCCUGGUGUAGCAGUGAAAUGCGUAGAUAUCAGGAGGAAUACCGAUGGCGAAGGCAGGUCUCUGGGCUGACACUGACGCUCAUGCACGAAAGCGUGGGGAGCAAACAGG